UACAGAGGUCUCAAGCGUUGUUCGGAUUCAUUGGGCGUAAAGGGUGCGCGGGUGGCGCGGCAAGUCGGAUGUGAAAUCCCGGGGCUCAACCUUGGAAGCUGCAUUCGAUACUGCCGUGCUAGAGUGCUGGAGAGGAGAUUGGAAUUUACGGUGUAGCAGUGAAAUGCGUAGAUAUCGUAAGGAAGACCAGUGGCUGAAGGCGGAUCUCUGGACAGCUACUGACACUGAGCACGAAGGCCAAGGGGCAGCAAACGGG
rnacentral:rRNA from 1 species